rnacentral:rRNA from 1 species
UACGGAGGGUGCAAGCGUUAUCCGGAUUCACUGGGUUUAAAGGGUGCGUAGGUGGGCAGGUAAGUCAGUGGUGAAAUCUCCGGGCUUAACUCGGAAACUGCCAUUGAUACUAUCUGUCUUGAAUACCGUGGAGGUCAGCGGAAUAUGUCAUGUAGCGGUGAAAUGCUUAGAUAUGACAUAGAAUACCGAUAGCGAAGGCAGCUUACUACAUGUUAAUUGACGCUGAGGCACGAAAGCGUGGGGAGCAAACAGG